AUACGUAGGUGGCAAGCGUUGUCCGGAAUUAUUGGGCGUAAAGCGCGCGCAGGCGGUCCUUUAAGUCUGAUGUGAAAGCCCACGGCUCAACCGUGGAGGGUCAUUGGAAACUGGGGGACUUGAGUGCAGAAGAGGAAAGUGGAAUUCCAAGUGUAGCGGUGAAAUGCGUAGAGAUUUGGAGGAACACCAGUGGCGAAGGCGCCUUUCUGGUCUGUAACUGACGCUGAGGCGCGAAAGCGUGGGGAGCAAACAGGAUUAGAUACCCUGGUAUUCCACGCCGUAAACGAUGAGUGCUAAGUGUUAGGGGGUUUCCGCCCCUUAGUGCUGCAGCUAACGCAUUAAGCACUCCGCCUGGGGAGUACGGUCGCAAGACUGAAACUCAAAGGAAUUGACGGGG
rnacentral:rRNA from 1 species